UUUACUUUUUGUCUUUCUCUUACAUAAGCUUGCCCUAGUACAGAACAUAAAUCAUGGCUUUCUCUUAUCUCCGAUCCCAAUUUCGCAAAAUCUCAUUACGAUCUUGCUGCUGAACCGACCCAUCGAUUUCUCUACACAUCAAUUGAUAGUUGUGCCACUGCCAAGGUACGAUCCAUAGACAUAGAAGCAUCACGUGGUGAUCAUUCUUCAGUAUCAAAUCACAUUCUUCCGCACCCAUUAUCCGCAAACCAAUUUGAUGAUCGGUUUUUUAAUAGGAUUCUCAUUUAUGGUUCUUGCCGAGGAUUUUUACUUUUGAAUAACAGGCGCCGUAAUCUCCUUGUGUGGAAUCCGUCAACCGGUGCUUGCAAACCAAUACCCAACCCACAUGUCAAGUUCGCGUAUAAUUCCCUAUAUGGAUUUUGGUACGAUGCAUCAACGGAUGAUUAUCUGGUUCGCAAUGCCCGAGAUUCGAGCAGAUUCCCCUGAUUUUGUAACACAUAAUGAGAUUUUCUCCUUCAAAACCAAUUCAUGGGACCAAAUUGAGGGUUUCAAAUUCCCCAAGUUCGCGUGUGGAACUAGAAUUGAAGCUGGGCUACUUUUAAAUGGAGCUCUUCAUUGGUUGGUUUACGAUGCAGAUAAUUUUGUCAUAAUUGCUUUUGAUUUGAUAGGAAGGAGUUUAUUUGAGAUUCCUUUACCAUAUGGUAUACAUACGGAAGAUAUCGAAGGAGUUCAUCUGAGGGUUAUGGGAGAUUGUCUUUGUCUGUGUAAUCCUAAUAGUAGUGAUCGUGCAAUGGCUGAGAUAUGGAUGAUGAAAGAGUAUAAAGUGCACUCAUCUUGGACUAAGUCAUCUGUUCUGCCCAAUUAUGAUAUUAUUCCUUAUUGCUCCUUUCUUCCAAUAUGCUUCACCAAAUCGGAAGGAUUAUUUGAAACAAAUUGCAAUGGAAGAUUAGUGAAAUUUAAUUGCAAAGGUGUUUUAAUUGAACAUCGUACAUACAGAAAUGAGUUUGAGUCUCUACUUCAGUCUGCUAUGUAUAGAGAAAGCCUACUCUCCCUCCCUGGUACUUUGGGGAAUUAAGUGAUUAUGGCUGACAAUAAUAGACAAGAUGUCUUUCAGGGGCGUGGGGAAAGAGUAUGUUUUUCCACCUGCAGGGUUGAUGUCACCCAGCUCUUUGACCACUUGAGCUAUCUAGAGGAGACUAAUCAAAUUUCAUUAUCUGAACAGAACAACUGAGCCUCAGUGGGCUUGAAAGUGGCUUUAGUUAUGCAGACUUGUGUUGCAUCACAUCACUGGAAUUUUCAAACUAGCAUGGUUUCUGUUUAGUUUUCUUUUCAUACUUGAAAUAAUCAUUGUUUCUAUAUUUUGUUCUAUAAUGAUCAAGUUAUUAAUGCAACUCACUGGUAGGUGAGUGCUGAUUUUAUCCGUA